UACGAAGGGGGCUAGCGUUGUUCGGAAUUACUGGGCGUAAAGGGCGCGCAGGCGGUCCUUCAAGUCAGAUGUGAAAGCCCCGGGCUCAACCUGGGAACUGCAUUUGAGACUGAGGGACUUGAGGACGGGAGAGGAGAGUGGAAUUCCCAGUGUAGAGGUGAAAUUCGUAGAUAUUGGGAAGAACACCAAUGGCGAAGGCAGCUCUCUGGACCGUACCUGACGCUGAGGCGCGAAAGCGUGGGGAGCAAACAGG
rnacentral:rRNA from 1 species